AUGCAACAAACCCUACCUUCUUCU
rnacentral:siRNA from 1 species